GGUCAAGUGAAGAAGCGCAUACGGUGGAUGCCUUGGCAGUCAGAGGCGAUGAAAGACGUGGUAGCCUGCGAAAAGCUUCGGGGAGUCGGCAAACAGACUUUGAUCCGGAGAUCUCUGAAUGGGGGAACCCACCUAGGAUAACCUAGGUAUCUUGUACUGAAUCCAUAGGUGCAAGAGGCGAACCAGGGGAACUGAAACAUCUAAGUACCCUGAGGAAAAGAAAUCAACCGAGAUUCCCUUAGUAGUGGCGAGCGAACGGGGAUUAGCCCUUAAGCUUCAUUGAUUUUAGCGGAACGCUCUGGAAAGUGCGGCCAUAGUGGGUGAUAGCCCCGUACGCGAAAGGAUCUUUGAAGUGAAAUCGAGUAGGACGGAGCACGAGAAACUUUGUCUGAACAUGGGGGGACCAUCCUCCAAGGCUAAAUACUACUGACUGACCGAUAGUGAACCAGUACCGUGAGGGAAAGGCGAAAAGAACCCCGGAGAGGGGAGUGAAAUAGAACCUGAAACCGUAUGCGUACAAGCAGUGGGAGCCUACUUGUUAGGUGACUGCGUACCUUUUGUAUAAUGGGUCAGCGACUUAUAUUCAGUGGCAAGCUUAACCGUAUAGGGUAGGCGUAGCGAAAGCGAGUCUUAAUAGGGCGUUUAGUCGCUGGGUAUAGACCCGAAACCGGGCGAUCUAUCCAUGAGCAGGUUGAAGGUUAGGUAACACUGACUGGAGGACCGAACCCACUCCCGUUGAAAAGGUAGGGGAUGACUUGUGGAUCGGAGUGAAAGGCUAAUCAAGCUCGGAGAUAGCUGGUUCUCCUCGAAAGCUAUUUAGGUAGCGCCUCAUGUAUCACUCUGGGGGGUAGAGCACUGUUUCGGCUAGGGGGUCAUCCCGACUUACCAAACCGAUGCAAACUCCGAAUACCCAGAAGUGCCGAGCAUGGGAGACACACGGCGGGUGCUAACGUCCGUCGUGAAAAGGGAAACAACCCAGACCGCCAGCUAAGGUCCCAAAGUUGUGGUUAAGUGGUAAACGAUGUGGGAAGGCUUAGACAGCUAGGAGGUUGGCUUAGAAGCAGCCAUCCUUUAAAGAAAGCGUAAUAGCUCACUAGUCGAGUCGGCCUGCGCGGAAGAUGUAACGGGGCUCAAACCACACACCGAAGCUGCGGGUGUCACGCAAGUGACGCGGUAGAGGAGCGUUCUGUAAGCCUGUGAAGGUGAGUUGAGAAGCUUGCUGGAGGUAUCAGAAGUGCGAAUGCUGACAUGAGUAACGACAAUGGGUGUGAAAAACACCCACGCCGAAAGACCAAGGGUUCCUGCGCAACGUUAAUCGACGCAGGGUUAGUCGGUUCCUAAGGCGAGGCUGAAAAGCGUAGUCGAUGGGAAACAGGUUAAUAUUCCUGUACUUCUGGUUACUGCGAUGGAGGGACGGAGAAGGCUAGGCCAGCUUGGCGUUGGUUGUCCAAGUUUAAGGUGGUAGGCUGAAAUCUUAGGUAAAUCCGGGGUUUCAAGGCCGAGAGCUGAUGACGAGUCGUCUUUUAGAUGACGAAGUGGUUGAUGCCAUGCUUCCAAGAAAAGCUUCUAAGCUUCAGGUAACCAGGAACCGUACCCCAAACCGACACAGGUGGUCGGGUAGAGAAUACCAAGGCGCUUGAGAGAACUCGGGUGAAGGAACUAGGCAAAAUGGCACCGUAACUUCGGGAGAAGGUGCGCCGGCUAGGG
rnacentral:rRNA from 1 species